UACAGAGGUCCCAAGCGUUGUUCGGAAUCACUGGGCGUAAAGGGCGUGUAGGCGGUCCGCUAAGUCUGAUGUGAAAGCCCGGGGCUCACCCCGGAAGGGCAUUGGAAACUGACGGACUCGAGUCCCGAAGAGGAGGGUGGAAUUCCUGGUGUAGCGGUGAAAUGCGUAGAUAUCAGGAGGAACACCGGUGGCGAAGGCGGCCCUCUGGACGGUGACUGACGCUGAGACGCGAAAGCGUGGGGAGCAAACAGG
rnacentral:rRNA from 1 species